rnacentral:rRNA from 1 species
GAAACCAACCGGGAUUGCCUUAGUAACGGCGAGUGAAGCGGCAAAAGCUCAAAUUUGAAAUCUGGUACCUUCGGUGCCCGAGUUGUAAUUUGGAGAGGGCAACUUUGGGGCCGUUCCUUGUCUAUGUUCCUUGGAACAGGACGUCAUAGAGGGUGAGAAUCCCGUGUGGCGAGGAGUGCGGUUCUUUGUAAAGUGCCUUCGAAGAGUCGAGUUGUUUGGGAAUGCAGCUCUAAGUGGGUGGUAAAUUCCAUCUAAAGCUAAAUAUUGGCGAGAGACCGAUAGCGAACAAGUACAGUGAUGGAAAGAUGAAAAGAACUUUGAAAAGAGAGUGAAAAAGUACGUGAAAUUGUUGAAAGGGAAGGGCAUUUGAUCAGACAUGGUGUUUUGUGCCCUCUGCUCCUUGUGGGUAGGGGAAUCUCGCAUUUCACUGGGCCAGCAUCAGUUUUGGUGGCAGGAUAAAUCCAUAGGAAUGUAGCUUGCCUCGGUAAGUAUUAUAGCCUGUGGGAAUACUGCCAGCUGGGACUGAGGACUGCGACGUAAGUCAA